rnacentral:lncRNA from 1 species
AUGGUUCAGAGGGUUGUAACAUAUAAAUUAAUUUACCUAAGACAAAAUAUCAACUAACACAAAAAUAGAAAUAAAAUUCAUCCUUGACCAAUAAUAUCAAACUACGUAGAUCCUAUCCUCACAUCCAAACCCUCUACUAUAAACCUAAACCUUAUACCCCAAACUCCAAAUCUAAAACAUCAAACCUAAUCUCAUUCUAAAUGUACACUACAUACACCAAACCUUAACCUAAUACUCUAAACCGCAAACUCAAACCCUACAU